UACGUAGGGUGCAAGCGUUAAUCGGAAUUACUGGGCGUAAAGCGUGCGCAGGCGGUGAUGUAAGACAGAUGUGAAAUCCCCGGGCUCAACCUGGGAACUGCAUUUGUGACUGCAUCGCUGGAGUGCGGCAGAGGGGGAUGGAAUUCCGCGUGUAGCAGUGAAAUGCGUAGAUAUGCGGAGGAACACCGAUGGCGAAGGCAAUCCCCUGGGCCUGCACUGACGCUGAGGAGCGAAAGCGUAGGUAGCAAACAGG
rnacentral:rRNA from 1 species